GGAGAGAGAAGUUCUUGGAGAGAGAUUUUUUUUCAGACGAUGAGGGCAGGAAGAUCUUAGAGAGAGAGAGAGAGUCCAAUGGCAGGCAAGACGGAACACGGUCAUCUCGAAAACAGGUCUGCUCUUCGUCGUGCCUAGGCCAUUAGGUCUUUGUUGGAACUGUGCGGAUCGAUUUGUACUUAAAUUGUAGCGAGAUUGGAAAUGCUCGUAAGGUGUUUGAUGAAAUGGAGGUUAAGGAUGCAAUCACUUUUACCGCGAUGAUUUCAGGUCAUUGCAGAAUUGGUGAAUUGAGUUUUUCUCAAGAACUCUUUGAUGCCAUGCCUGAGAUAAACACAGCUUCAUGGAAUGCUUUGAUUGAUGGCUAUUUAAAGGGUGGUGAUAUAGAAAAGGCGGCUUCGCUCUUUGAUGAAAUGAGUCAUAAGGAUUUGGUUUCUUGGACCACCAUGACCUCGAGAUUUUCAAAAAAUGGAAGGUUUAAAGAGGCAGCUGUGUUCAAAGAGAUGGAGGCCCAAGUUGUGAGCCCUGAUGCAGUAACCAUGGCUACAAUGAUCUAAGCUUGCGCACACCGGGGGCCUUGAUUUAGAGAGAGAGAUACAUAAAUAUGUUAGCUGAAAUGGUUUCAAUCUUGAUGUCUUUAUAGGAUCCUCUUUGAUCGAUACGUAUGCAAAACAUUCUCAGGCGUAAGAAUUGUAUCUCAUUGUCUGCAAUGCUAGUCUUUUUUACUUUCUUGUGAUCGUAAUAACAAAUAUGUUUUUCUUACUUUUAA